UCGAGAAUUUUUCUCAAUGGGCGCAAGCCUGAAGGAGCGACGCCGCGUGGGGGAUGAAGGGCUUCGGUCCGUAAACCCCUGUCAUUUGCGAACAAACCUUCGGAUUGAACAGAUCCGGAGCUGAUUGUGGCGAAAGAGGAAGGGACGGCUAACUCUGUGCCAGCAGCCGCGGUAAUACAGAGGUCCCAAGCGUUGUUCGGAUUCACUGGGCGUAAAGGGUGCGUAGGUGGUCGGGUAAGUUUGGUGUGAAAUCUCCGAGCUCAACUCGGAAACGGCACUAAAAACUACUCGGCUGGAGGGUCGGAAGGGGGGCUGGAAUUCUCGGUGUAGCAGUGAAAUGCGUAGAUAUCGAGAGGAACACCAGUGGCGAAAGCGAGUCCCUGGACGACUCCUGACACUGAGGCACGAAAGCUAGGGGAGCAAACAGGAUUAGAUACCCGUGGUAGUCCUAGCUGUAAACGGUGCACAUUUGCCGUGAGAGGAAUCGACCCUUUCGU
rnacentral:rRNA from 1 species